AAAUAAUAUUAUUUUUACAAAAUAAUAAUAAUUGUGGGAAGGGGGACAUUUAUGAAAAUUACCAUGCCUUAUAGAAAAUAGAAGUGAUUGUAAUUUAAAAAAACGUAUGUAUACAAAACUCAUUUUCCCUCUUUCUUCUUUUUCUGUCCUUUUCCCUUUCCUCCUUUCCUCCCUCCCUUUCUUCUUUUGCCUUCUUCCUUUUUAAAUAUUUUUCGAACAUGUUAAAAUCUAAUAUAGCCUUUGAAUUCAUUUUUCUUCUUUUCACCAGACAUUGGUGUGCAAGUGGCAAAAAGAGUCCUGUCCCAGCACUGCAAGGGGAAGAUAAAGGCUCGUCAUCUGUGCGUGCGUCCAUCUGAGUGGAACGUGUGUCCCGGGGGCUGCUGCCACCGCGCCGGUCCCUCCUGUAAUCCGAGCCCGUGUCAGAGGACGCGGCGCCUGCAAGGAAGAAGGGUUGCCGCAGGUGUGGCCAGAUCCUCUAGGCAAGAGGUGUGGAUUCAGGUCCUACUAGUCUUACUCCUGAUGAAGCUGGGCAAAUCAGUUGGCUCUGGAGUAAUUAGUAGCCCCUUCCUCACUGACCAUUGCAAGGAAAUACCAGUGAACUUGAGUUUCUCCAAUGAAGGUGAUCACAGUGAUGAAUGACUUGGCUUCUGCACAGCAAAAGACAUGAUCAUCAGAGCGAACAGACAACCUACAGAAUGGGAGAGCAUUUGUGCCAUCUAUCCAUCUGACAAAAGUCUAAAAUCCAAAGUUUACAAAGAACUUAAACAAAUUUACAAGAAAAAAACAAACGACCCCGUUAAAAAGUGGGCAAAGGAGAUGAACAGACACUUCUCCAAAGAAGACAUUCAUGCAGCCAACAAAGAUAUGAAAAAAGCUCGACAUUACUACUCAUUAGAGAAAUCCAAAUCAAAACCACAAUGAGAUACCACCACAUGCCAGUCAGAAUGGCAAUUAUUAAAAAGUCAAUAAACAACAGAUGCUGGUGAGAUUGUGGAGAAAAAGGAACACUUUUACACUGUUGGUGGGAAUGUAAAUUAGUUCAAACAUUGUGGAAGACAGUGUGGUGAUUCCUUAAAGAACUAGAAGCAGAAAUACCAUUUGACCCAGCAAUUCCAUUCCUGGGUAUCUACCCAAAGGAAUAUAAAUCAUUUCAUUAUAAAGAUACAUGUACGCGUAUGUUCAUUACAGCACCAAUCACAAUAGCAAAGACAUGGAAUCAAUCCAAAUGCCAAUCAAUGAUAGACUGAAUUAGAAAAAAAAAGUAGUACAUGUAUACCAUGAAUACUAUGCAGCCAUAAAAGGAAUGAGAUCAUGUUCUUUGCAGGGUCAUGGAUGGAGCUGGAAGCCGUUACUUUCAGCAAACUAACACAGGAACAGAAAGCCAAACACUGCAUGUUCUCACUUAUAAGUGAGAGCAGAAUGAUGAGAACACAUGGACACAUUAGGGGGAUCAACACACACUGGGGCCUGUUGUGGGGAUGGAGGGAGGGAGAGCAUCAGAAGAAUAGUUAAUGGAUGUUGGGCUUAAUACCUAGGUGAUGGUUUGUGAUAUGGUUAGGCUUUUUGUCCCCACCCAGAUCUUAUCUUGAAUUGUAAUCCCUGUAAUCGCCAAGUGUCUAGGGAGAUACCUGGUAGGGGGUGAUUAAAUCAUGGGGGCGGUUUCCCCCAUGCUGUGGUUGUACGGAAAAGAAAGAGAGAUCAGACUGUUACCGUGUCUAUGUAGAAAGGAAAGACAUAAGAGACUCCAUUUUGAAAAAGACUUGUACUUUAAACAAUUGCUUUGCUGACAUGUUGUUAAUUUGUAGCUUUGCCCCAACCACUUUGCCCAAACCACUUUGACCCAACCUGGAGCUCACAAAAACAUGUGUUGUAUGAAAUCAAGGUUUAAGGGAUCUAGGGCUGUGCAGGACGUGCCUUAUUAACAAAAUGUUUACAAGCAGUAUACUUGGUAAAAGUCAUUGCCAUUCUCUAGUCUCAGUAAACCAGGGGCACAAUGCACUGCGGAAAGCUGCAGGGACCUCUGCCCUUGAAAGCUGGGUCUUGUCCAAGGUUUCUCCCCAUGCGAUAGUCUGAAAUAUGGCCUCGUGGGAUGAGAAAGACCUGACCGUCCCCCAGCCCGACACCCGUAAAGGGUUUGUGCUGAGGUGGAUUAGUAAAAGAGGAAAGCCUCUUGCAGUUGAGAUAGAGGAAGGCUACUGUCUCCUGCCUGCCCCUGGGAACUGAAUGUCUCGGUAUAAAACCCGAUUGUACAUUUGUUCAAUUCUGAGAUGAGAGGAAAACCACCCUGUGGUGGGAGGCGAGACAUGUUUGCAGCAAUGCUGCCUUGUUAUUCUUUACUCCACUGAGAUGUUUGGGUGGAGAGAAACAUAAAUCUGGCUUACGUGUAUGUCCAGUCAUAGUACCUUCCCUUGAACUUAAUUAUGACGUAGAUUCUAUUGCUCACAUGUUUGUUGCUGACCUUCUCCUUAUUAUCACCCUGCUCUCCUACUACAUUCCUUUUUGCUGAAAUAAUGAAAAUAAUAAUCAAUAAAAACUGAGGGAACUCAGAGACCGGUGCCAGUGCAGGUCCUUGGUAUGCUGAGCGCCGGUCCCCUGGGCCCACUGUUGUUUCUCUGUACUUUGUCUCUGUGUCUUAUUUCUUUUCUCAGUCUCUCGUCCCACCUGACUAGAAAUACC
rnacentral:lncRNA from 1 species